GGGCAAUUGGUCUAGGGGUAUGAUUUUCGCUUCGCAUUUCCAAUAUAUGCGCCUUGUGAAAGGUCAUGGGUUCAAUUCCCAUAUUGUCCA